rnacentral:rRNA from 1 species
GCACAAGCAGUGGAGUAUGUGGUUUAAUUCGAAGCAACGCGAAGAACCUUACCAGGUCUUGACAUCCGAUGCAUAGCGCAGAGAUGCGUGAAGUCCUUCGGGACAUCGAGACAGGUGGUGCAUGGUUGUCGUCAGCUCGUGUCGUGAGAUGUUGGAUUAAGUCCCGCAACGAGCGCAACCCUUAUUGCCAGUUACUACGUAAGAGGACUCUGGCGAGACUGCCGUUGACAAAA